rnacentral:rRNA from 1 species
GAUGAACGCUGGCGGCGUGCCUAAUACAUGCAAGUCGAGCGAACAGACGAGGAGCUUGCUCCUCUGACGUUAGCGGCGGACGGGUGAGUAACACGUGGAUAACCUACCUAUAAGACUGGGAUAACUUCGGGAAACCGGAGCUAAUACCGGAUAAUAUAUUGAACCGCAUGGUUCAAUAGUUCAAGACGGUUUUGCUGUCACUUAUAGAUGGUUCCGCGCCGCAUUAGCUAGUUGGUAAGGUAACGGCUUACCAAGGCAACGAUGCGUAGCCGACCUGAGAGGGUGAUCGGCCACACUGGAACUGAGACACGGUCCAGACUCCUACGGGAGGCAGCAGUAGGGAAUCUUCCGCAAUGGGCGAAAGCUUGACGGAGCAACGCCGCGUGAGUGAUGAAGGUCUUCGGAUCGUAAAACUCUGUUAUUAGGGAAGAACAAAUGUGUAAGUAACUAUGCACGUCUUGACGGUACCUAAUCAGAAAGCCACGGCUAACUACGUG